CUGAGCCACCGGUACAGAUGGCGGGGUGGUGUAAAAUUCAGUGUUUUUGAUAAAAUUGAAAGCUUGCGAAAAGGAGGAGGAAGGCUUGAAUAAAGAUUGCGACUUAGGUUGGGAGCUCUCAACCACCUCUUCAUAUGAAGAAAGUGGUCGCAUAUAAAUCGACCUAAUUUAGAUGAAGAAGGAGAAGUACCUCGAAUGGAAGAGCAGAAGUGAUGGCGGAACAAUUUAGCCGGAACGGAUGAUGCGCACUGCGGCGGCGGCGGCGGCGGCUUGCUUACCGAUGCUCCAGACGGCGGCGGAGAAACGCGGCCAAGGAGAGAAUUGGGAGAAACAAUAUUAAAUAUUAACUGUAAAACUCUUCCAACUUAUCUUGGAUCAAAACGACAUCGUCUUAAUUUAUGAAGUAUUAAAAAAGUCA